rnacentral:antisense_RNA from 1 species
AAAGUGUAUAAGUGCUCCUUUUUCUCCACAGCCUUGCCAGCAUCUGUUAUUUUUUGUCUUUUUAUUAAUGGCCAUUUGGACUGGUGUGAGAUGAUAUCUCAUUAUGGUUUAGAUUUGCAUUUUUCUGAUGAUUAGUGAUGAGUGGACUGAUCAAGUUGAAAGCAACAGAACAAGCAUCUAUAAGAAUCGAUUAUACGUCCCAGCACUUUGGGAGGCUGAGGCAAGUGGAUCCCUUGGGCCUAGGACUUCAUGAGACCAGCUGGGCAACAUGAUGAACUCCUACUAAUUUUCAUCCUUCAGAACAGGAUGGAAGAAACUACGGUCAUACAUGCAAAUGGAGAAGAUGAUGAACACAGAAGAAUUAUGCAAAGAUAAUCCCUAAACCUUAUAUUGGCCUUUUUAAACCUUCUUUCUCAUCAAAAGUUAUAGCAAGGCGGUUUAAUAUAUCACUGACGGAACAUGAUGCUUUGUUUAAUGAAGACUCAGAUGGAAAGGAUCAGACAUCAACCUUUAAAUGUAUCAACCAGAAGAAAAGACCAAUUUUGAAAACUGUUGAGCAUUAUUCUAUACCUCUAGCUGUUCUUUUCUGAAACAUGAAUUGGAAGAAUUAUUGUCACUCAUAUUGUGAGUAUGAGUUAUAAUUCUCAAUUCCCAAGUAAAAAUCUUCCUGCUUUUGUUAU